rnacentral:rRNA from 1 species
AUGUCGCAUGGUGAAUCAUCCGGCGGCGGCAGGACCGUGCGGGUGGUCGACGUGUGGGCCCAGAACGAGGCGGCGGAGCUGGCCCGCAUCCGCGGCCUCGCCCGGGGCUUCAGGGUCGCGGCGGUGGCCACGUCCAUCGAGCUGCCGCCGGGCCCGUCGCCCACGCGCACCCUGGACGACAGCUACGAUGCCGUCCGCGCCGCCGUGGACGGCGUGCGGUCCGUGCAGCUGGGCCUGGCCCUCCUCAGCUUCGACGGCGACCUGCCUCCGGCCGGCCGCGUGUGGCGGUUCCACCUCGGGGAGGGGCGCGGCGAGGCCAACCCGCACCGCUUCUGCGAGGCCCUCUGGAGCUGCACCCGCGCCACCAUGCCCGACUGCGUCUGCGCCACGCGGGACGGCGCCGCCGACGUGGCGUACCUUCUCAGGCAUCUUGACGGCGGCAUCCCGCCCCGGCGCGAGGCGUUCCUGCGGAGGUGCAACAUCUUCUUCCCCCAACUGUACGACCUGAGGGUGCUGGCGGAGUAG